CAGCAGCCGCGGGAAUACGGAGGGGGCUAGCGUUGUUCGGAAUUACUGGGCGUAAAGCGCACGUAGGCGGCUUGGUAAGUUAGAGGUGAAAGCCCGGAGCUCAACUCCGGAAUUGCCUUUAAGACUGCCGAGCUAGCAGGUGAGAGAGGUAAGUGGAAUUCCGAGUGUAGAGGUGAAAUUCGUAGAUAUUCGGAAGAACACCAGUGGCGAAGGCGGCUUACUGGCUCAUACUGGACGCUGAGGUGCGAAAGCGUGGGGAGCAAACAGGAUUAGAUACCCCGGUAGUCCCUGUCUCUUAUAC
rnacentral:rRNA from 1 species